UGGGCUCUUGUGUCUAGGAAAAUGGGCUCAAUCCAUAAAAACUUGGUAUGGGUUAAGAACUGCGGUGCAUCGAGAUCCGAGUCUUUCUGUUUUGAUUCUGAAAACUCAGCAGAGAAAAGAGAUCGUAAUUAACGGCUUUUUCUUUUGUCUUUAGAGUUUAGAUUAAUGGUUUAACUGUUUUUUAUUUUUGGGGUGAGGUUUGUAGGAACCGGCUCUUGCUUCUUGGGCAUUUUGACUUUUAAUAAACAACAUAUACUAAUCUGACUGCGGCCAAAGCCAAAUGAAAGAAAAAAAAAGGAAAAGAGAUGAAAAGAUUCCUCAACGAGGAAGGCAAACAAAAUAAAGCAAAUUAUACCCAACCAGAAAAAAACACUGUUUAUCUCUUUCUUUCGGUUGCUUUUGCUUUAUGGUGUAUAUAUUAUUAUUAAUAUUAUUAUAUAUUAUAAAGGUCAGCAACCGAACAGAGUCUCUUCAGACAAGCCUCAACCCUUCACGGUCUCACUCCUUUGACAUAGAAAUGCCAUUCUUUUUUGUUUCUUCUUUUCUUUUACUCAACCAGGGUUACGUGUGUUUUCACUUUCUUUUUUUGAUUAAAGUGCAAAUACAACAAACAAAAUUCUUGAGCUUUGAAACUUUGUUUUUGUUCACGGGACGGCCCGACCCAGAAUCCAAUGCACACACCUCUCUCUCUCUCUCUCUCUCUCUCUCUCUCUGUGUCUCUGUUACCCUAUACUGACCCUGUCUUGUAGACUACCCUUCCUUGUAGAGUUGUAGAGUUAAAGAGUCAACUCAGUAGAUUUUGUUUUGCUUUAGCUGCUUUUUUUUCCUCUUUUCUUCUCUCUCCACUCGUGUGUGUGUGUGGGAGUAAUGUGAGCCUGUGACUCUUAGAGAGGCUUCACCUUCACUUUUGUUUUCGUAUGAGUAUAAAUCUUUGGUUUUGUUCUCUCUCGCUCUUAUGCCCUUCUAUUGUCAACGCUUGCAAAAAAGAAGUUUACUACCUCCCUUCUUCCUUCCCCUAAAGCCCAUUUACUUUCCCUCUCUUUGCUAUUGCUUUCCCUUUUGUUUUGUUUUUGGACUGUCUCCAUUUCAACUUUGUCCCUUUGUAUUAUCCCCCCAUAGCCCCCACUAAGCUUCACUCUACGCUUCCCUUUCAGCUUCAUAUCACCAGGUACAUUUGUCCCUCCCUUUAUCUUCUCAUCUUCUUCUAUGUCAAGCUCAUUUCUGCUUCUUUUUUUAUCAAGCUAAAUGGGUUUUUUAUAUAUAUAUAUAUAGUUGAAAAAUUAAAAUAGUCUCCUGCAAAAUGCAAAUAAAUGGUAUUUAACACAAAACUUACCUCUUUUAUACUAUCUUGAGGUUUCCUCUUUAAUUUGUGGCUUCCCAUGAUUGUUGCUCUUUUAGUAACUUUGUUUGAAGAAUUUACUCUAUGCAUUCAUUGAAGUGAAAUUGAGUGGAGCUAUUUCGUGUUCGAA
rnacentral:lncRNA from 1 species